UACGUAGGGGGCAAGCGUUGUCCGGAUUUAUUGGGCGUAAAGAGCUUGUAGGCGGUCUGUCGCGUCUGCUGUGAAAAUCCGGGGCUCAACCCCGGACUUGCAGUGGGUACGGGCAGACUAGAGUGUGGUAGGGGAGACUGGAAUUCCUGGUGUAGCGGUGAAAUGCGCAGAUAUCAGGAGGAACACCGAUGGCGAAGGCAGGUCUCUGGGCCACGACUGACGCUGAGAAGCGAAAGCAUGGGGAGCGAACAGG
rnacentral:rRNA from 1 species